AGAACAUGUUCGGAGGGUAUUGCCUAGUCAGUAGCUUGAAUCUCUCCCAAGCUUCAUAAAGGGUCUCACCAUCUUUCUGUCUGAAAGUCUGAACCUCCACCCUCAGCUU